UAAUAAGUGUUUUAUGGCACUUUUUAAAUCCAUAUCCACCUUGUGUGCAAUGUCAGUCGAUCUUCUUCAUGGAGAUCGACCAAACAUCAACCUUUAUCUUUUAACUCUUUGUCUGAAAAGUAUUAUGAAUAAACAAUUCAAAAUA
rnacentral:misc_RNA from 1 species